rfam:Homo sapiens chromosome 8, GRCh38 reference primary assembly.
CGGGGGGGGCCCGGGGACGGCUUGGGCCUGCCUAGUCGGCCUGACCACCCACCCCACA